CCUACGGGGGGCAGCAGUGAGGAAUAUUGGUCAAUGGCCGGAAGCCUGAACCAGCCAAGUAGCGUGCAGGAUGACGGCCCUACGGGUUGUACACUGCUUUUAUACGGGAAUAACGCGCCUUACGUUUACGCCUUUGCAUGUACCUUAUGAAUAAGGACCGGCUAAUUCCGUCCCAGCAGCCGGGGUAAUACGGAAGUUCCGGCCGUUUGCCGGUUUUAUUGGGUUUAAAGGGGGCGUAGGCCGGAUGUCAAUCGUGCUGGGAAAUGGCCGGGCUAAACCCGGGCCGUGCAGCGGGGACUGGCGUGCUGGAGUGCGCAGAAAGCAGGCGGAAUUCGUGGUGUAGCGGUGAAAUGCUUAGAUAUGACGAAGAACCCCGAUUGCGAAGGCAGCUCGCUGCAGCGGAACUGACGCUGAUGCUCGAAAGCGCGGGUAUCGAACAGGAUUAGAUACCCGAGUAGUC
rnacentral:rRNA from 1 species